GAUGAACGCUGGCGGCGUGCCUAAUACAUGCAAGUCGAACGAACAGAUGAGGAGCUUGCGCCGCUGACGUUUGCGGCGGACGGGUGAGUAACAUGUGUAUCAACUACCUAUAAGAAUGGGAUAACAACGGGAAACCGGAUCUUAUACCGGAUGAUAUAUUGCAUCGCAUUGUGCAAUAGUGAAAGUAGGUUGUUGUGUCACUUAUAGAUGGUUCCGGGCCGCAUUAGCUAGUUGGUAAGGUAACGGCUUAUCAAGGCAACGAUGCGUAGCCGACCUGAUAGAGUGGUAGGCCACACUGGAAGUGAGACUGCGACAGGACUCCUGCGGGAGGGACCAGUAGGGAAUGCUACGCAAUGGGGGAGAGCCUGACAGAGCAACGCCGCGUGAGUGAUGAAGGUCCUGGGAUCGGAAAGAUCUGUUAGUAGUGGAGAACAAAUGUGUAAUUAGCUGUACACGUAUUGACGGUACCUAGUCAGAAAGCCACGGCUAACUACGUG
rnacentral:rRNA from 1 species